rnacentral:lncRNA from 1 species
AGAGAGCUGAGGGAGCUGGUUGGAUCGAGUCCAGCCGCAGGCCAAGAAGUUCGCUCAAUCUCAAACAUUCUCAAGUAAGAUGUGAGGGAUUCGGGUAGAGCAAGAGAGGAAAUUCAAGCAGAAAUCCGGAACAGGCUCGUUUCAGAACGGCUUCCGCUUCGAGGGGUGUACAGGACUCAAAUCGACUCCAAUGGAGCUGAAAUUUUGAGGCUAGAUAUAGGAGACAUAGACGAACAACUUUGGUGAAGAAAAUUUUUUGAUCGGAGGUCUCUAACUAGGUGUUUUGGGGCUCGUAAACAGACUGAUGUGUCCAGGAACGAGAGGAAAGGUGAGAAGAGAAGGGUGAAUGACGAUUUAUGGCCUGGGUUCUCUCUUUUGAAGCUGAACGAGGCUCCCUCUCUCUGCCUAACUCUGACGUGAACAACUAA